UACGGGGGGGGCAAGCGUUGUUCGGAAUUACUGGGCGUAAAGGGCGCGUAGGUGGCCUUUUGAGUCAGACGUGAAAUCCCCCGGCUUAACCUGGGAACUGCGUCUGAUACUGGAAGGCUUGAGUUCGGGAGAGGGAUGUGGAAUUCCAGGUGUAGCGGUGAAAUGCGUAGAUAUCUGGAGGAACACCGGUGGCGAAGGCGGCAUCCUGGACCGAAACUGACACUGAGGCGCGAAAGCCAGGGGAGUAAACGGG
rnacentral:rRNA from 1 species